UACGUAGGUGGCAAGCGUUGUCCGGAAUUAUUGGGCGUAAAGCGCGCGCAGGCGGCCUUUUAAGUCUGAUGUGAAAUCUUGCGGCUCAACCGCAAGCGGCCAUUGGAAACUGGGAGGCUUGAGUACAGAGGAGGAGAGUGGAAUUCCACGUGUAGCGGUGAAAUGCGUAGAUAUCUGGAGGAACACCGGUGGCGAAGGCGGCAUCCUGGACCGGCAUUGACGCUGAGGCGCGAAAGCUAGGGGAGCAAACGGGG
rnacentral:rRNA from 1 species